UUAUCAUUUAGAGGAAGGAGAAGUCGUAACAAGGUUUUUGCAGGUGAACCUGCGAAAUGAUCAUUGUCGAACCUGCAUAGCAGAAUGACCCGAGAACCUAUUCCAACGUCGAGGGUCAGCGGGCCUUCAAGCUCGGCGUCCUCUUAUCCCGGGAGCCCGCUCCUGAGCAUACAAACGAACACCGRCGCGUUUUGCGCCAAGGAACCUAAACGAAAGAGCGCGCUUGCUUGGGCAUCACACGCCGUUGCCCACCCUCGAGUUGCAGAAUCCCGUGAACCAUCGAGUUUUUGAACACAAGUUGCGAGGGCACGCUUGCUUGGGCGUCACACGCCGUUGCCCACCCUCGCCUUCCUCGAGARCGUCGGGGUGCACACGAUGGCCUCCCGUGCAUCGACCUACGCGAUUGGCACAAAUGUCAAGUCCUCGAUGACGAACGCCACGACAAUCGGUGGUUGCCAAACCUCGGUUGCCUGUUGUGCGCUUUCGUCGCGCUCCAAGCGGCUCACGAUGCUCCCCGCUCUGCUUCGGCCGAGCUUUCAACACGACCACAGGUCAGGUGGGGUUACCUGCUGAAUUUAAGCAUAUCAAU
rnacentral:misc_RNA from 1 species